UACGUAGGAGGCAAGCGUUGUCCGGAAUUACUGGGCGUAAAGCGCGUGUAGGUGGUGGGACAAGUCUGCUGUGAAAGCGCCUGGCUUAACCAGGCGAGGUCGGCGGAAACUGUCCGACUCGAGGACGGUAGAGGGGGGUGGAAUUCCCGGUGUAGUGGUGAAAUGCGUAGAGAUCGGGAGGAACACCUGUGGCGAAGGCGGCCCCCUGGGCCGGCCCUGACACUGAGACGCGAAGGCGUGGGGAGCGAACGGG
rnacentral:rRNA from 1 species